rnacentral:rRNA from 1 species
UGGGGAAUAUUGCGCAAUGGGGGGAACCCUGACGCAGCGACGCCGCGUGAAGGAAGAAGGCCUUCGGGUCGUAAACUUCUUUAAUCGGGGACGAAGUAAGUGACGGUACCCGAUAAAAAAGCCACGGCUAACUACGUGCCAGCAGCCGCGGUAAUACGUAGGUGGCGAGCGUUGUCCGGAAUUACUGGGUGUAAAGGGCGUGUAGGCGGGUAUGCAAGUCAGAUGUGAAACCCCACGGCUCAACCGUGGGCUUGCAUCUGAAACUGUAUAUCUUGAGUGUUGGAGAGGGAAGCGGAAUUCCUAGUGUAGCGGUGAAAUGCGUAGAGAUUAGGAGGAACACCAGUGGCGAAGGCGGCUUCCUGGCCAACAACUGACGCUGAGGCGCGAAAGCGUGGGGAGCAAACAGG